rnacentral:rRNA from 1 species
UACGUAGGCAGCAAGCGUUGUUCGGAAUCACUGGGCGUAAAGGGUGCGUAGGCGGGUCUUUAGGUCAGGGGUGAAAUCCUGGAGCUCAACUCCAGAACUGCCUUUGAUACUGAGGAUCUUGAGUUCGGGAGAGGUGAGUGGAACUGCGAGUGUAGAGGUGAAAUUCGUAGAUAUUCGCAAGAACACCAGUGGCGAAGGCGGCUCACUGGCCCGAUACUGACGCUGAGGCACGAAAGCGUGGGGAGCAAACAGG